GAGGAACGCUGGCGGCGUGCUUAACACAUGCAAGUCGAACGGAAAGGCCCAAGCUUGCUUGGGUCCUCGAGUGGCGAACGGGUGAGUAACACGUGGGUGAUCUGCCCUGCACUUCGGGAUAAGCCUGGGAAACUGGGUCUAAUACCGGAUAGGACCACAUUUUGGAUGGUGUGGUGGAAAGUUUUUCGGUGUGGGAGGAGCUCGCGGCCGAUCAGCUUGUUGGUGGGGUAAUGGCCUACCAAGGCGUCGACGGGUAGCCGGCCUGAGAGGGUGUACGGCCCCAUUGGGACUGGGUGACGGCCCCGCCUCCUCCGGGGUCCCCCCGUGCCUCGUCUUGCUCCCUGGGCGCCCGCCUGCUGCAGCGACGCCGCGUGGGGGAGGACGGCCUUCGGGUUGUAACCUCCUUUCGCUCGGGCCGCCGCGUUCUGUGCCGGUCCCUGUCGCCGACGCCCCGGCUCCCUCCGUG
rnacentral:rRNA from 1 species